GCGACGGACGAGGGCUAUAUAAUGGUUUCGCGGCUCCUCCACGCGCUAUUCCAAUCCAAAUCGGGAACAAUAGCUCUUCGUCUUCUCUCCCCCCUCCUUGCUCCCACCUUGUCGACGACUCUGAAACCUACGAAGCCGAAGUGCUAACGAAACCCUAAGGAUCGGAUCCCUCUUCCACUCCCUCGAUCGAAUCCUCAAUUUGAGCCGACAUUUCGAUCUCGAACUCUGUUGUCGAUUUGAGAUCGAAGGAUCCCUGAUCAAUUAAAGUCUAAGCCCGGUUCGAACUCGAAUCGAGUUCUAACGGUCUAAUCCAAUUCCUAGUCCGAGUCGAGUUCUAACGGUCUUAUCCAAUUCCUCGUCCGAGUAGGAGACCACUAUGUAACCGUUACACUGAAACAGAAUCCUAAUCCGACUCGGAUUACCCAACGGCGCGAAAAAAACUAGCCGUUGCGCCUUCGCCCUUCUCCCUAUAAAUAAGAGCCCUCACUCCAAAUCGCGCACACUCCGCUGCCCAUUUACCUCGAGGACGAAGAGGGAAAGGGUUCCCUCAUGGGUUCUUCGUCUCCUUCUCCCCGAUAAGGAUCUUUUGGAUCUGAUUGCGAGGUGAUGGGUUCAUCCAAGAUCAAUCGCCCAGUGAUUUCGAAAGAGGUAUUCCAGAGGCUUCUUGCGAAUACCCUUCUCUGAAGAAUGGAUCUUUAAUGGGAUCCGGCUCCAAAAGUGCUUGUUCCUUCAAUCAAACAAAUCGGUGAGGCAGAUGAGAGCUCUACGACCAAGAAAACAAGUGCCGAAACAUGUGACCAAGAAAGCAAGUGCCAAAGUGUACGACCAAGAAAGCAAAUGCCAGUCUUUUUCUUCAUUUUAACUGCAAUAUAUGAUAACUUUAUACUUGAAUUCUCAGGAGGUUCCACGACUCUGGUGUAAAGGUCAGCUACAUUUGCAAUGAUUUAUACUGGGCAAAGUGGAUAGCAAAAGUGGAAAAGAAUCACAGGAAACUAAUGUCAUUUUAAAAUUCAUAAGGCGUUAAAGGUUCACUUAAUGAUCUCAUUAUCUUUCAACUAGCAUUUGUCGAACUGGACUUGAAGUUUGUAGUUUCAUGUAUUUUGGUCAAAGAGAUGCAGCAAUUAUGCCGUAAGUUAGCUGUGUUCUAAAUGGUCCCAACCAUGCAGGGAGGAGCUAUAAGGUACUGAUAUAAUGGACUGUUGAAAGAAUUUUGUCUUCUGAACAGGUUCCCAAAACGUUGGUGGUUCGGUGCUCUUUCUCAUCUAUUUAAGCUUAUCUAAUAAUAUACCGCGAGAGGAGAAUACGUGAUUUUGAUCCAUGUUUAACAAUGAGAAAUGGGAUUCGAACCUGCUUUUGCAAGAAUUCAAAGAAAGAACUUUUGCAUUUAAGGAGAAAUUUGAACUCGUUCAUGCAAUAUAUAAUCUCUGGUUGGACUCGGCUAGUCCUCUAACAUUCUUCCAUCCCGAUUUUUCUCACUAAAGGAAUCACAGGAAACUAAAUCCGUUUAAAAUUCAUAAGGCGUGUUAAUGGUUCACUGGCUGAUCUCAUUAUCUUUCACCUAGCAUUUGUCGAACUAGGCUCGAAGUUGUAGUUUCACAUAUUUUGGCCAAAGAUAUAGCAAUUAAGCUGUAAGUUAGCUGUGUUCUAAAUGGUCUCAACCAUGCAGGAAGGAGUUAUAGGGUACCGAUAUAAUGGACUUUUGAAAGGACUUUUUCUUCUGAACAGGUAAAUGUAUGUUUCCUAUAUUUAUAGCUCCUUUAUUUACAGCCUACAAGAUCUUAUUGUCAGGGUAGGAUAAAAUAUGUCUUGGCAUAUACAGCGUAUUAGAAAUACUUGGACCUCUAUCUUUAUAAACAAUUUCUCAUGGCCUACAACUCAGAAAUUUGAUUAGGCGAUGCCUAGAAUUCAGGUUAUUCCGCUUCUCCUAAUUCUUCUGGUCAAAUUGUUUGUGACCUUUUUCCUCAAAAGCACUAGGAUCUCCUACCCUCGUUUUAAGAAAAUGCAAUGCAUAAUGUAUAUAUUCAGUAUAAUAUGUUACACCUGAUAUGCAAACUGAUCACCUCAUUGCAGGAUUAAGGAGCAUAAUGUUAUAAUACUUGCUUUCAUUUCCUUUCUUUCUUCAUGAGCCAAAGAGUUUUCUGUUUGUGCGUUUAACAGUAUUUCUAAUCAUUCACUGCACUGUUUCAUUAGAAACUUUAGAAUAGAAGUUUGAGAUGGGCAGAUCUGCAUGUGUAAGCAGGUGCGUAUAUUUAAUGGGCGUUUUAACCCUCUUUGCAAGGAGUUAACAUGAAGACACUAUGGUCUAUCAGCUGAUUUUACUAGAUAGUCUAAUAACAAUCUGUCUUGGUUUCUAUGCUUAAUACUUAUCGUCCAUAUAUCUUAUUUGCAGUUAAUCUAAAGUCAUCUUGUGCAAGCGAUUUACUUACUCAGUUUUUAUUUUAGAGAUGUUAACGCAACUUCUGCUAACUUGCGAUCUACUAGAGUAUCGAUUACUAAAUUUGUUAACGCACUUUUGAACUCUGUUUCAUCAUGAUGCAGUUUCCUGGUACAAUCUCCAAUUUCUGUCACUUGCAUAUUUGAUAUUUCUUUUGUGAGAAGCUCGUCUUAAAACAUGUUUUACUGUGCCAUUUUCUGUACAUGUUGGUAGAAUGAUAGGGCAUUUAAAUGUUGGUCACUAGUCGAACAAUACCCUCAAUGGAUAGAAAUUGCAACUGCUAUUACUACUAUUGGAAAUCUAUAUGAAUUGUAUGUAAAAUUUCUAUCUUAACAUACUGGCAUAGCCAUGCACAGCAAGGACAAAUACGCUUUUGGGGAUCAUUACAUUCUUUGAUUGUUAGAAUAAGAAGAUGAUAACUUGCUAGGGAGAAAGUAACUAACCAUAAAUAAACCCUAUAUUAGCAGCUGAUUAGUGCUGUUUAAUCCAUAUUUGUAUUUAAACUUCUUCUUCCUUCUAUAUUUGCAGCUGAGAACUUGCGAAAAGUUGAUCAGUGUGUAUCAAGUCAGUGUGUAAGAUUCGAACAAAUACAAAAUUCCUGUCGGCCCUGAUAGUUGCAUGGUGGCUGGACGAAGCGCCAAAACCUACAACCAAGUCGCAAGUGCUAGUCAUUUUUCCAGUUUAAAAGGCAUUAUGGGACAAUUAAAUGAGAUAUAAUGCUUCAUCUAAAGACUGCUCUCUGUUUAAUUGUUAUUUGCGAUUUCUUUCACUUUUGAUUGUUGUUGCGAUCAGAUUUUCAUAACUGGGUCUUAUUACUAAGGAGAUUAUUUUCGCAAGCAGAUUUCCUGAGUCUUAGGUUCCCAGAAUGUUGGUGGUUCGGUGUUCAUCUUCUGUUGGCCACAACAAGGAUGACUCGGCCGAUUGCGCUAGAACAUAACGGAAGGCUUUUAGAUUUUGUCAUAAAGCUAGCUCUCAAACUCAUAAAGUAACUUAGGGGUGUGAAACAGCUAAACAGAGUAACCGGAUCUAAGGUCUAGGUCCGGUUUAGAUUUUCUUUAUCAUUUUGAGAAAAAAAAGCGGUUUGGUUUGGGUCAAUAUGGUAGGAACCGCAUAAUUUUGAUUCAGGUUUUGGUUCUGAUCAUGAGAAUCGGCUUAAACCAGACCAACCGGUUAGUGUUUCAUAUAUUUUAAACUGAACGGUUUGUUCUACUUAAUUAGCCCAUUACACGUAACGUUGGAAAGCUAACCUGCGCAUUAUUAAGUGAUGAAGCGCAGGAUAAGCAUGAAGGCAACGGACGAGGGCUAUAUAAUGGUUUCGCGGCCCUUCCGCACGCAAUUCCAAUACAAAUCGGGAACAGUCGCUCUUCUUCCUCUCUCCUCCUCCUUGAUCCCGCCUCGUCGACGACUCCGAAACCUACGAAGCCGAAGCGCGAACGACUCCGAAACCUACGAAGCCGAAGCGCUAUUCCAAUACAAAUCGGGAACAGUCGCUCUUCUUCCGCUCUCCUCCUUCUUGCUCCCGCCUCGUCGACGACUCCGAAAACUACGAAGCCGAAGCGCGAACGAAACCCUAAGUGUGAUGAAGGAUCGGAUCCCUCUUCCACUCCCUCCAUCGAAUCCUCAAUUUGAGCGGACAUUGAUCUCGAUCUCGAUCUCGAACUCUCUUGUCGAUUUGAGAUCGAAGGAUCCCUGAUCAAUUAAAGUCUAUGUACGUGAUCUAAAGGAAGCGAGAUGAUUCUUUGAGGUAGCUGAUUGAUAAACGAACGAGAAGAAGAAAAGGGUUUAGCUGGCAUCCAAAUAUGGGACUCAAACUUCAAUCGGCUGCCUGCCUGCAAUCCUUCCUGGCCGGUGAAACUGUUGGACGAACAGGACUCAUCUUUCAUGCGGGCUCUCUUUCAUUGGGAAAGCAAUCUACUGAGUUUAGAUGGAAGCAAGCAAAUAGCUGCCAAGGGAAUAAAGAACCAGAGCAAGAGAGUCAAGAUAUCUGAUAGCAGUAGAGAAGAACGUUGCUCUGAUUUAACAAUGAGGCAUAAUUCAAAGCAAAUCUCCUUGUCCGGAGACAGGAGAGCUUGGUUUUGCUAAUUUACAAACUUUGUGCACCAUAAUUACAUGCAAAGGGGUAGUCUAAUUUGUUCAUGUAAGGAUUUUGCAAGAUACAGACAUCUCUAGUAUGAUUCCUGAACUCUAAUAUUUUUAUCAGAAAAAAAACUAAUUUUUAUCUGUCCUCACAUGUCUAUUGUUGGAGUAUCAUGGAAUUUUGUACCUAAAUUGGGACAAUUUCGUAAGUUUGUAUGGGAAUUGUCGAGUUUUUAUUUGCAUGGCAUUAUACAUGGAUGAUCUUAUAAAUGAUAAUUACCUUCGUCUAAUGCAAAUUAUAGCGUCUAAUUUAAUUAAAUUGAAAAAUCAAUUAGAAUGAGGAUUCAAAGUGUUGCAAAAUAGAUACAUGCAUCUCGAACCUUUGCAUUAAAAGAUAGCUAUGGAGAAAGGAGCACAGGGAGAUAAAUCUCCUUCUUGGACCUAAUAUUCAUUCACAAAAUUUGGGUACUGUAAUAUAUGACCAGUCACAUUUUCAGAUGACAACAUGGCAAUUGCAGCAGCAAGAUCUUCCAUGCUGACCUCUUGCUUUCAGGUGCUUUAUCGGAAGUGCACUGCUUCAAUAAUGUCGGAUAUAACAAAGUUGAGACGAAUUGUGGAGUCCAAGGGUAAAUUUAAACUUGAGAGGAUAAUACCUUUGGAGCAGUCAUAAAACGGUUCAACAAUUAUUUACUCGUCAAAAAUGACGAAUAAUUCCGAGUAGAGCCUCGACUACGACUACCCAAUAUUUCUUGCUUUUGCAAAUGAAGAGCACCACUCUACCUUGAUUUGAAAUGGAAUUCGAACCUGUUUUUGCAAGCAUUCAAAGAAAGAACUUUUGCAUUCAAGGAGAAAGUUGAACUUGUUCAUGCAAAGAUCUCUCGUUGGACUCCGAUUGCGCUAGAACAUAACAGAAGGCUUUUAGAUUUGGUUAUAGAGCCAACUCUCAAACUCAUGGAGUAAGUUCGGGGUGUGAAACUGCUAAACAGAGUAACCAAAUCGAACCAAUGGUUGAGGAAAAAAUUGAGGAAUUUGCAGAGUUUUUGCAUCUGGAGAAGGAUUUAGGUAGCUGAUUGGUAAAUGAAUGAGAAGAAAAGGGUUUAGGUAAUAAAUCUGAUGCUUCAACCGAAGUACUAGAACUAGGUGCUAUUGAGUUUAUGGUGCCUCAUGAGUCUAUUGAAAUGCUGCUUUCUCAGAUUAUAGUGGAAUAUUCUUCUUCCAGGAGAGAAGAACGUCGCUCUGAUUUAACAAUGAGGCAUAAUUCAAAGCAAAUCUCCUUGUCCAGAGACAGGCGAGCUUGGUUUUGCUAAUUCACAAACUUUGUGCAACAUAACUUACAUGCAAAGAGGUAGUCUAAUUUGUUCAUGCAAGGAUUUUGCAAGAUACAACCAUCUCUGGUAUGAUUCCUAAACUGUAAUAUUUUUAUCUGAAAAAACUAAUUUUAUAUGUUGCUUUUAUUGUUUCUUUAUUAAUUUGUUAUGGUUAUUUGUAGAACAGGUUGGACCCUGAAAAUUCAAAAGGUGUACCUAGUCAGAAGGUAAAGUGUAUUGGGAAUCCCUUCAACAAUACACUAGCUUAAAUUGGCCACCUCCACUUAUUUUUAUUUUUUUUUUCAUUGAACCUCCUUAACUUUAAUUUUUUGAAAUUACAUGAUUUUAUUUAAUUAAAAUUAUGAAUUUUAUCAAAUUAAUUAUUUAUUUCAUCAAAUUUAAUGGUUUGAUUAAUUUUUAGCGAAUGAAGUAAAUAUUUCACGUUUAAUAUUUUAACGGAAUUAUUAAAUUUUUAAAAAAUAAACUAUCUAGAAUAACUUGAAUAAAAAAAUUAUAAGUUAUGGAGGUGUUUAUUUGUUAUGGCCCAUUGUUCUUUUUUGGUGGUGUUCGGCUCAUUAAUUUCGAACGUUAAGCUAUAUAGUACCGUCUUUACUUUUAAGCUAUUGCCACUUUAUCCAUUCCCAUCAGUUCUCUUCUAGUUCUUAUCAUAAAAUGCAAUAAAAAUUUUCGUUGAUGUCUGGAAAUACUAAAACUGCCCUUUUUCGAAAGGUAAAGGAAUGGGAUAAAACCAGGGAGUUUCUGUAUUAGUAUUUCAUUCAAAAUUUCAUUUUAUGUUCCAAAAGAUUGUUGAUAAGGAACUGACAUGAGGAGGUAUAGUAAUAAUGAUUUAAAACAAUCAAAGGGUAAUGUUUAGGUUUUUAAAGUUCAGCAUGGCAAAGUAAUAACGGCUAUUUAGUUCAGAAGAGUCUUCUGCAUUUUAGUUCUCCUUUUUUCUAAAAAAAAUUAAUUAGCUGUAUGUACUGGACGAGAAUUAAAGUCUGUCUUUUUGUUUUUAUUUGAGACUGAAAUUUCAUCCUCUUUUGAGUGCUGUUGCCUGGAGAUUUCUUAACUGCACCAUAUCACGUGGAGAUCAUUUUUGGCAUGAGAAGAUACAAAGAGGAAACCUCGCAUUUACGACUACGUAGGCACUCAUUUUCACUUGGCCACAGCAAGGUUGAACCCCGAUGGGUUCAAAGUUCAAACAGUCCGAUACAGGUGUUAGCCAAAUUGGAAGACCUCAAAGAGGAAACUUGUUACAAAUGGCCAUUGCACUGAAGCAGGAAUUUACGUCCAAUCACGGAUUUACCCAGCGGUGCGAAAUUCUUCGAAAAUCAGCUGUUGCACGUUCAUUGAAGAUAAAAAUGUAAAACACUCUUUUUUCAAGGUACACUAUGUGGACUUUUCUUCCCAUUUCAACAGUUCAUCAAUAAUUCCUAUUGAAAAUUCUAUCGUUCCAUUCCUUCCACAUGUUCCAGGAGAAGGUGGUGAACGUUGAGUUCAUCGUGCCUUGCAGAGUCGUAGCUAGUGGCACCGUUGCAUCAGCUGCAGGAGAGAAAAUGCGGAGGUUUUGGAAAAUGUAUUUGGAAAACGUGAAGUGCCAAACCCUGUAGCUAGAUAGCAAGAACAAGUCACGAGGCUUGCCAAUAGAAUUUUUAAAACCGAGAUUCAAGAAAAUUAGUACCCUCCAUCUGUACUUCAGGUAAAUUCAUUAGUAAGUUCCUCAGAUUUCCUUACUAUUUUUGAAGAUUUGCAUCCUGCUGAACAUCACCGGAAUACAAAAUAAAAUCAUAAAAAUGAAUUUGUGUGAAAUUUUUAGAUAUCAUUUUGGUCACGUCUCCUGGAUUUUUCAUUCUGUGUUUGCAACAGUUAUCAUAGUAUCUUUUUUCAGUUAUCAUCAGUUAUCGUAGUACCAGUUAACUGUUCAUAUUUGCACACGAUUUAGUGUACACAUAGGAACCCGUAAUCAAAAUUUGAUGGGAUAUCUUCGCUUCAGAACAAAACAAUUAGAAUGAGGCUAGAUAAUAAUCUUAGAAAUGACUUCAGAAUAUCUUCCCUUGAUCUUGUAUUCUUAGAAUUAGUUUUACUGUCACCUAAAGAGGUAAUAAAAAUGAAGUUUGGUGUGUGAAAUGCAUGCAAAAUAGUAUAAUUGUAGUUUGCAGUGCUGGUAUUGUGCAAGGUACUAUUAGGGAUUAGAACACCUGAACAUUUAUCUGACAGAAAUCAUUAUUAAUGUUUUUAUUAUUUGAUUCCUUGUGACAUGAAGAUUGUUCAUCAACCAUCAUGCUCUUGCUAGCGUACUGUAUAAACUCACUAGUCUGAGAGCAACUUUAUUAUGUAAUAAUUUGUUACAUGACAAAAUAUUUGCCAUCAUGUUUCAGUUUUCUGAUCUCUUGAUGUUUAGAUAUAUUCAGCAGCCUAAGCGGACCAUUGGAUCAAUCUUUUACAUCUCCGAGAAUUGAUUUAAUCUUUAUUCCAAAUCUACUCAUUGUCAGAAAGUUCAGCAUCAUAAAUAGGGAUGAGGUGUACAACCAUCUCUCUACCUCCUAAUUUAGAGAAUUCACUCAAUGUAUGCUUCCUUCAAAAUGAUCUAGAUUUUGAAUCUUACAUUAAAUAAUAUUUCCUUCUGCAUGCCUAUCAAAAUCAUUUAAUCUCAGUACAUGUGGUCUUCAGCAUGCUAUAAGAUUUGCUGUAUCACUCUUUCUUGAACUACUCUCAAACAUGAAUGCAUGAUACAGUUUCUUGCUUUUUCCUAAAUGAAAUUCUCAGUUAAUAGACUGCCAAUUUGUAAUCUUUUGGCUUUUUUCAUUUGCUGAGAAUUGAUUUCUGAAAGCCACUAAAUAAAAGGCAUAAGAUGUUUCUUAUUACUUAUCUGGAUAUCGCUGCUUAAUUUCUAUGUGAUUACUAGAGCAAGCUCAGUGAAGAUUUCUUGGUGGGCUGCUUAAUUAGCUGUGAGUGUUAGCUCCAAUACUCACAUUCUACAAGGGAAAUCUGCCCCCACAUGUCCAUUGUGGAGUAUCAUGGAAUUUUGUACCUAAAUUGGGACAAUUUCGUAAGUUUCUAUGGUGGGUGAUAUACAUGUCUAUGGGAAAUGUCGAGUUUUUAUUUGCAUGGCAUUGUACAUGGAUGAUCUUAUAAAUGAUAAUUACCUUAGUCUGAUGCAAAUUAUAGUGUCUAAUUUAAUUAAAUUGAAAAAUCGAUUAGAAUGAGGAUUCAAAAUGCUGUAAAAAAGAUACAUGCAUCUUGAACCUUCGCAUUAAAAGAUCUUCCAUGCUGACCUCUUGCUUUCAGGUGUCACUAAGUUGGCUGCAUAAUGGUAGAUGCCUUUUUAAUUGCUGUGGAGGUUCCUUUCGACGAUCAACUUUAUUGCCUCUUUCUUUCUUUUCUUUCCCUUAUAGUUUUUGUCAUUAUGUGGAAGCAUCAACCUACUGCGAAUACUACGUUAAAAUAAUUUGGAUUAAAAAUUUACUACAUAGAUUCUCUCAACUAUAGGCCAUUUUGAAAUUGAAACCUCAAUUAUUUUUCUUUUGAUUUUGGCUUCCUCGACUUUUGAUUAUUUUGAUUCAUGUUAUUUUCACUUGGAGAAUUUGGGGCUGUCAAACAGCUUUAAUUUUUAAUGAUUCUCCUCUUCUAAUGUAUGAAAAUAAUUAAAAAGAAAUUAAAAUUUUGAGGGAAUAUCAAUCGGAAGAAAAACAGCUGAGGGGUCUAUUUCAAAAUAACCUACAGUUUGAGGGGGAUCUCCAUAAAUUUUCCCAAUAGGUUUUCUGCUUUUAACAAUCCAUGCUUACUUCAUCUUUUAUUCUAGCACUCGUAUGGCUGAGCUUUGCUUUAAAUAUUUUGAUAUUUGAAACAACUUGGCUAAUUGGUAUCUCAGUCUUUCAAGUUUCAACUUACUAUUAAAUUUGCUUCAGUAUCCAGCAUCAUAUAUUUUACUUGAUGACAAUGAAACAGUUUGUUGUAAUAUAUGUUGAUUUUGUUAUCCUCUAUUACUUUAAUGUAGUGCGUGUAUAACACAAUAGUUGUCUGAUUUAUACUUCUUCGCUUUCAGUCAUUUCAUGGUAUUUCUUCUUAACUGCAAGCGUGCAUAACAACUUAACACUACUUGCUGGAUAGAUACCUGAAAUUUGUGAGAAAAUCAUUGCAAUCUGUGUUGGGAAUUUGACUAGGUUUACAAAGGAUUUCAUCCAUUCCUAUGUUAGGAGCGUGGCUAGGUUUACAGAGUAUUUUUAUGUGAAUUUCGAUCUGGUGAUUCUUUUCUUCUCUCUUUUUUUUUUUUUGUUUUUCUCUCUCAACUUUAUUUAAUAAUUUGUUUUUAGUAGACUUUUGUAUUUUUGACUGUCAUGUAAGGUAGCCAGGGGAUGGUUCUUAAAGAGAGAUUAAAAAAGGGUGCUUUAUCGAAAGUGCACUGCUUCAAUCUCGUCAGAUAAGACAAACCAAAAUUUUCAGUAUCUGGGUUAUAGUUGAAAAAGAAGCUUGAAUUGCAUGAGCAAGUUAUAGCCUUUUGUUUAGAAGCCCCCACAUAAACUGUUAACGAGCAAGAGACGAAUUGUGGAGUGGUAAGUUUAAACUGAGAGGAUAAUAUCUUUGGAGCAGUCAUAAAACGGCUCAACGAUGAUUUAUUCGUCAAGCAUGACAAGUAGUUCCGACUAGAGCCUCGAUUACGACUACCCAAUAUUUCUUGCUUUUGCAAAUGAAGAGCACCACUCUACCUUGAUGUUAGUGGCAUAAUGUGACUUUCUAAGUUGGUAAUCAUGCUUUCAAGUUAAUGCUUUGUAGAGAGAGUGAGAAUUGAAGCUUUUAUAAAAACAAAGAAUCUGUCAUUCAUUAAAUGUAUAGAGGUACGCAGUGCAAAUCCAUGACCUUGUGCCUGAUUUCUUGUUUUUUUUUUACGGAAAUUCCUUUUUUUUCCUUGCACCUGAUUUCUUUUUUUUUUAGGGAGAUUCCUUUUUUUUUUCUUGAAACAAGCAAAACUCAAAACAAAUCUUGUCCAGUUUGAAAUGAAGUUUGAGCCUGUUUUUACUAAUUUAUGAAACUUGUGCACGACAAGUCAUCACUGUUUAAAAAAGCGCGCCUAGGCGCAGCGCCUAGGCGCCUAGGCUCUAGGCGCACAGGCCAGCGCCUAGAGUAGCUCUAGGCGGGCGCCAUGAUUCAGGCGCGCGCCUAGGCAGCCUAGGCGCGCGCCUGGGCCUAGGCGCAAGGCGCUCUCAAGGCGCGCCUAGGUAAUAUUUAUAGUAACGGGUUUGGAUCCAGAUUUUAUUGGUCUAACGGGUUGAAAUAUCUAAAAUAAACCCAAUACCCUAAACUAAACCCUAAAUAAUCAUCAAUUAUUUCCCUAUUCCUUUCUCCCUGUCCGCUCUUCCCUCUCCCUCUCCGCUCGGCCCCUCUCCCUCUCCGCUCGCCCGCUCGGCCAUCUCUCUCUCUCCGGCGCUCCCUCUCCGGUUGUCCUUGCUUCCGGCACCUCCUCCUUGCUUCUUCAACUCGCUCGCCUCUUCUUCUAAGUUUAGUAUUUUUGAAUGGAUUCGAAAGCAACCGAAAGAGAUCCUGCAUGGAAGUCGGACUCCGAUUGCGCUAUAACAUAAUGGAAGGCUUUUAGAUUUGGUCAUAGAGCCAGCUCUCAAACUCAUGGAGUUAACGUGCGCAUUACCACGUGAUGAAGCGCAGGAUAGCAUGAAGGCAAUGGACGAGGGCUACAUAAUUGUUUCGCCCUCCAUGCGCCAUUCCGAUCUAAAUCGGGACCAAUUGCUCUUCUCCUUCUCUCCUCCUCUCUUCCACUUGUCGGUGACUCCAAAACCAACGGAGUCGAAGUGCAAACUAAACCCUAAGGAUCAGAUACCUCUUCCAUUCCCUCCAUCGAAUCCUCGAUUUGAAGCCAAGACUGAUCUCGAUCUUGACCUCUCUUGUCGAUUUGAGAUCACAGGAUCCCUGAUCUAUUAAAAAGUCCGAGAAAAGAUUGAGGAAUUUGCCGAGUUUUUGCAUCUGGAGAAGAAGGAUUUAGGUAGCUAAUUGAUAAAUGAACGAGAAGAAAAGGGUUUAGGUGUAAUCGAAGUUCUAGAACUAGGGAAGUAAAAUAUAUUCUCCGUCCAGGUGCACAAAUUAUUGAGUUUAUGGUGCCUCGUGAGUCUAUUGGAAUGCUGCUUCUCAACAUUCUCAGAUUUUAGUGGAAUAUUCUUCUUCCAGGAGAGAAGAACAUCGCUCUGAUUUAACAAUGAGGCAUGAUUCAAAGCAAAUCUCCUUGUCCAGAGACAGGCGAGCUUGGUUUUGCUAAUUUACAAACUUUGUGGACCAUAACUUACAUGCAAAGAGAUUUCUUAACUCCACCAUAUCACGUGGAGAUCAUUUUUGGCAUGAGAGAGUACAAAGAGGAAACCUCGCAACAACAACUACUAAGGCACUCCAUUUUCACGUGGCCACAACAAGGAGGGGUCUGAUUAUGUUUAAAAAUGAGGGCAUACUUCAAACAGAUCUCCUUGUUCAACUUGACGUAGAAUUUGGACUUAAUUUUUCCUAAUUUAAAAACUUUGUGCACCUUAAUUACAAGAAACCAAAGAAUGCAUUUACAUGCAAAGAGGUAGUGGAACAUGUUCAUGCAAGGAUCUUGCAAUACAACAGAAAACCCAAGGAUCUUGCAAGCCGUCUGCUCUUGCUGAAUAAUCUUUUAUGAUGUCAUCAAGACAACAUAGCUGAGAACUUUGAGAGGUGGUGGUUGAUCUCAAUUCAGAGAUGUAUUAAAUUAAAUACAAAAUUAUUGUUUGGUUUCAUGUAAAAUAUUUUAUUGUUGAAAUGAUAGUUCUUCCUUUUAAUUGCAGAGUCGUUGAUGGUGGCACCAUUGCCCCAAGCUUUAGGGGAGAAAAUGUGGAGGUUUUUAAAAAUGUAAUUUGAAAACGUGAAGCGCCAAACCCUAUAGCUAGAUAGCAUGAACAGAUUAUCUUUCCAGUUUUAACAAAUCACGAGACUUGCAAAUUGAAUUUUCGAAAGUGAGGUUCCAAAAAAUUUAGUACCCUCCAUCUGUACUCCAGGUAAGUUCAUUAGUAAGUUCCUCAGAUUUCUCUAUUAUAUUUGAAGAUUUCGUAUUCUGCUGAACGUCACCAGAAUACAAAAAUAAAAUCAUAAAAAUGAUUUUGUGUGAAAUUUUUAGAUAUCAUUUUGAUCA